GCUUCCUGUUCCGGCGCCAGGAGGAGCCGCGCGCUGCUGGUGCUGUUGCCGCCGCUGCUCUAGCUGCCAUCAGUCAGGCUGCGCCCGUGUCUUCAGGGCCCAGUCCCUCGGACCCAUCGCCGCUUCUAGACCCUACUGCGGUCUCGGAUAUUGCCGGUUGGCAGAUGCACUACCUGAACACUCCCCUGCCAAAACCUCUGCUGUGAGCAAUACAAAACCUGGCCAACCUCCUCAAGGCUGGCCAGGCUCCAACCCUUGGAAUAAUCCGAGUGCUCCAUCUUCAGUGCCAUCUGGACUCCCACCAAGUGCAACACCCUCCACUGUGCCUUUUGGACCAGCACCAACAGGAAUGUAUCCCUCCGUGCCUCCCACCGGACCACCUCCAGGACCCCCAGCACCCUUUCCUCCUUCCGGACCAUCAUGUCCCCCACCUGGUGGUCCUUAUCCAGCCCCAACUGUGCCAGGCCCUGGCCCCACAGGGCCAUAUCCUACACCAAAUAUGCCCUUUCCAGAGCUACCCAGACCAUAUGGUGCACCCACAGAUCCAGCUGCAGCUGGUCCUUUA
rnacentral:sRNA from 1 species